UUAGAACAAGACAUAAGACUUCUCCAAAUAAUAGAAAGGAUGCAAACUGAACUCAUAGAACUGGAAAAUAAAGUUACUAAUAUAACGAAAGAUAUGCCCUCAAAGUCUUGUUCAUCAAAUUGGAUAUCAUUUGGAUCUUCUUGUUACAUGAUAAUAGUACAGAACAAGUCAUGGGACAACACAGCUAUAAAAUGUCUACAGUAUGGUGCGAAAUUAGUCGAGAUAGAGACAAAGGAAGAAAACAAUUUUUUAAAACAACGCACCAGCAUAUAUAAUAGAAGUAUGUACUUCAUUGUAAGAUCUCAUGUAGAAUUAACAAUAUUUUUUGUA